rnacentral:lncRNA from 1 species
UGGUGGGUCCUGUCAUUGCGCUGGUGGGUCCUGAUACGGUGCUGGUGAUUUUGGAUAAGAAGUUGGUCAUAUUUGAAACAAAUGUUACAAAAUCAAUAAAAUUGGGCAGAUAAUUGUUGUCAAUAGGAUCUAUGACUCCUAUUUUAGCUCUUGUGCAUCCAUUUGGCUGUUUAAUAUGUGUUUCAAAUGAUCGUAACUUGUAUUACAU